rnacentral:lncRNA from 1 species
AAGCCCCGAAGGGUCAAAAGGAAUACAAAAGCAAAGUCUGUUUGCCUCCUUUAAGCCGUUGUUCUUUCUUGGUUUCUUUUCUAUUUUUUUAAGAGCGAGUGGCCUAGGCGGCGACGGUUUGCGUUAGGCGCCGCGGAGGUGAGGGAGGCCCGCCUCCCGCGCUCUGAUCUGCCACCUCCCCCUUUACAGACUGGACUGGACUGCUAAAGCACCCUGAGAACCUGAGAGUCCCCAUUAGAGUCUGCUUUGGAAGCAGGAACAGACUAUUCCAUUAUGGAUGGAGGGGAUGAUGGUAACCUUGUCAUCAAAAAGAGGUUUGUGUCUGAGGCAGAACUAGAUGAGCGGCGCAAAAGGAGGCAAGAAGAAUGGGAGAAAGUUCGAAAACCAGAGGACCCAGAAGAAUGUCCAGAGGAGGCGUAUGACCCCCGGUCUCUGUACGAACGGCUGCAGGAACAGAAAGACAGGAAGCAGCAGGAGUAUGAGGAGCAGUUCAAAUUCAAAAACAUGGUAAGAGGGUUAGAUGAAGAUGAGACCAACUUCCUCGACGAGGUUUCUCGGCAGCAGGAGCUGAUAGAGAAGCAGCGACGAGAAGAAGAGCUGGAGGAGCUGAAGGAGUACAGAAGUAAUCUCAACAAGGUUGGAAUUUCUGCAGAAAAUAAGGAAGUAGAGAAGAAGCUGGCUGUGAAACCCAUAGAAACCAGGAGCAAGUUCUCCCAGGCAAAGCUGUUGGCAGGAGCUGUGAAGCAUA